UACGUAGGCAGCAAGCGUUGUUCGGAAUUACUGGGCGUAAAGAGUUCGUAGGCGGUUCGUUAAGUCUGAUGUUAAAUAUCGGGGCUCAACCUCGGGAGUGCAUUGGAUACUGGCGGACUGGAGUGUGGUAGAGGUUAGUGGAAUUCCCAGUGUAGCGGUGAAAUGCGUAGAUAUUGGGAAGAACACCAGUGGCGUAGGCGACUAACUGGGCCAUAACUGACGCUGAGGAACGAAAGCCAGGGGAGCGAAUGGG
rnacentral:rRNA from 1 species